AUGGAAUAGCAUAUUAAGCAACAAAAUGCUCAAUAUAAUUUUUAAAAAAAAAUUACAGCACACCACCUGGCAAAAUUAAAUUAAUCACAGCAGAACUCUGCAUUACCACACAACUUACUGGAUGACAAAAAUCUCCUUGCGUCUAAAGAAAAAUGAAGAGCAUCUGGAAGUAAAGAUCCAUUAGUCACUUGAGCACAUUAUCACAUUAUUUUAUUUGCUACUAUGGAAACACUGGCAUUGGCUAUUUUACAUUUCAUCCUAGUUGCAAGGAUGGAUGGGGAUCAACUCCAGGAGUGGAUAAAAGAUUAUCGAAGAAGUGGAAGAAGGCCUUCAAGCAGUGCAAUGACGGACGUGUCCGUCUUCUGGACAAUGCUGAGGUUGUGAAUCUGGACGGCAGUAGGAUCGUCUUCUCGACAGGAGCCCAAUCUAACUGCCAUCCAAGAGGCUUCACCUAGCAGCUGAUGGAAACAGAUGCAGAGACCCACAGUCAAAUGUUAGACAGAGCUUGAAGAAUCUUAUGGAAGAAGGGGAGGAAAGUUGAAGGAGUCAAAGAGGUCAAGGACACCACAAGAAAACCUGCAGAAUCAACAAACCUGGGCCCCUGGAGCCUCACAGAGACUGAACCACUGACCAUAGAGCAUGCAUGGGAUGGACUUAGGUCACUUACACAUAUGUAACACAUGUGCAGUUUGGUCUCCAUGUGAAUCCCCUAACAACUAAAGCAGGGACUAUCUAUGACUUUGUUGCCUACCUUUGGAUCCCUUGCCUCUGCAUGGACUCCCUUGACUAGCCUCAAUAGAAGAGGGUACAACUAGUUCUACUGUAACUUGGUAUAUACCCAUGCAGGUUGAUAUCUAUGGGAGCUCUGAUUUUUAUCUCUGCAUUGUUGCUUAAAUCCUUAAGAGAGGUGAAUGAAUGGCAAAAUGAUUAACUUUUAGAAUUUAAAGGAAACUUAUAGACCAGU